AAUCAACGCUGGCGGCGUGCCUCAGACAUGCAAGUCGAACGCGAAAGUUCCCUUCGGGGAACAAGUAGAAUGGCGCACGGGUGAGUAACACGUAGGUAAUCUACCUUCGGAUGGGGAAUAACAACCGGAAACGGUUGCUAAUACCGCAUAAUGCAGCGGCACCUAAUGGUGACAGUUGUUAAAGCGGGGAUCGCAAGACCUCGCGUCUGAAGAGGAGCCUGCGGCGGAUUAGCUAGUUGGUAGGGUAACGGCCUACCAAGGCGACGAUCCGUAGCCGGCCUGAGAGGGUGAUCGGCCACACUGGGACUGAGACACGGCCCAGACUCCUACGGGAGGCAGCAGUAGGGAAUCUUCGGCAAUGGACGAAAGUCUGACCGAGCAACGCCGCGUGAGCGAUGAAGGCCUUCGGGUCGUAAAGCUCUGUUGUCAGAGAAGAACAAGUACCGGAGUAACUGCCGGUACCUUGACGGUACCUGACCAGAAAGCCACGGCUAACUACGUGCCAGCAGCCGCAGUAAGAC
rnacentral:rRNA from 1 species